AACGAACGCUGGCGGCAUGCCUAACACAUGCAAGUCGAACGAAGCCUUCGGGCUUAGUGGCGCACGGGGUGCGUAACGCGUGGGAAUCUGCCCCUCGGUUCGGAAUAACAGGUUAGAAAUGACUGCUAAUACCGGAUGAUGACGAAAGUCCAAAGAUUUAUCGCCGAGGGGAUGAGCCCGCGUAGGAUUAGCUUGUUGGUGGGGUAAUGGCCCACCAAGGCGACGAUCCUUAGCUGGUCUGAGAGGAUGAUCAGCCACACUGGGACUGAGACACGGCCCAGACUCCUACGGGAGGCAGCGGUGGGGAAUAUUGGACAAUGGGCGAAAGCCUGAUCCAGCAAUGCCGCGUGAGUGAUGAAGGCCUUAGGGUUGUAAAGCUCUUUUACCAGGGAUGAUAAUGACAGUACCUGGAGAAUAAGCUCCGGCUAACUCCGUGCCAGCAGCCGCGGUAAU
rnacentral:rRNA from 1 species